GACGAACGCUGGCGGCGUGCUUAACACAUGCAAGUCGAACGGAAAGGCCCUGCUUUUGUGGGGUGCUCGAGUGGCGAACGGGUGAGUAACACGUGAGUAACCUGCCCUUGACUUUGGGAUAACUUCAGGAAACUGGGGCUAAUACCGGAUAGGAGCUCCUGCUGCAUGGUGGGGGUUGGAAAGUUUCGGCGGUUGGGGAUGGACUCGCGGCUUAUAGGUUUGUUGGUGGGGUAGUGGCUUACCAAGGCUUUGACGGGUAGCCGGCCUGAGAGGGUGACCGGCCACAUUGGGACUGAGAUACGGCCCAGACUCCUACGGGAGGCAGCAGUGGGGAAUAUUGCACAAUGGGCGGAAGCCUGAUGCAGCAACGCCGCGUGCGGGAUGACGGCCUUCGGGUUGUAAACCGCUUUCGCCUGUGACGAAGCGUGAGUGACGGUAAUGGGUAAAGAAGCACCGGCUAACUACG
rnacentral:rRNA from 1 species